UUUUUUUUUUUUGCAAGAAUCAACCUUAGCAGGCUGUUGUGUAGAGUUACUGUCAGCGGAAGAUGCCACAGCCAAGAGAAAUUGGCUCUAGAUUUCUUCUAUGCCUGCUGCUCCAUCCUGCAGCAAUUAUUUAGAACAACAAAAUAAGAUGGUUGUCAGAUUAGAUAUGGCACACUUCUUGCAUAGAAAAGAGAAAGCCACACUAAAGAACGCGUUCCUAGUAUGUAUUUAUAAACAUAGAGAUACUACUAAUCAAUAUAACAAACUAUUUCCUUCAGCAAAAGGAAAACAUGCAUGUAGCUAGAAAGAAAGGAAGCAAACCUCGAGCAGCAGAACAGAGUUACAUCAAAGCAGUAGAUCAAGAUGCAGCAACACAGGGGAUCCUAGAACCUGCUAAAUAAACAGAGAUGAAGUAGUCAGAGCAAAGGCAACAGGUGGAACGGUGCACAGACAGGUAAAAGAAAAGUCAUCCACAAACAAGCAAAAGAAGAGUCCAUUUACCCGACCUAGAAAAGGAGAAGCAGGCUAGGAAAUCAGGAAAGACGGAUGAUACGACAUCAAGCAAAAUGAACUGAACGCAAAAAAGUAAGGUUAGAAAAUACGCAUUUCAUCAAACAUCUUGCAGGCAAGAAAAUGGAGCAGGGUGUCACCUCAACUAAUUGCCAAAGGCAGAACGGUGCAUCGGUGGACGCAGGAGAGGACGACAAGAUAAUCAACCAGCGUAUGAAGGAAACUAAAAGAAGAACACGAAAUCGGCAGGGAGUAGAAGAUAUGAAGACGAAGGAGGCCAGCGGGGAGUCCGCAGCGGCAGCUCCAUGGCUGGACUGAGCCAAUCCGCCUCCUGGCUCGCAUCCGCUGCUCCCCUCCUCCGAGCGACGACGCCUUGGUUGAGCUCCUCCUUCGCACCUUCCUCGCGACGAGGUCUCUUCUCCUCCUGGGGCUUUGUAGCAACCCGGGGCAGAUGAGGACCUCGGGAGGCGGUGGAUCUCAUCAAAAGAGACAGCGAAGCCCUGGGUCACGGCUGAGGUGAGGGAGGGAGGAGGGAGAGGCGCGGCGGCUGCUUGAUUGCGAGACUGGGCUAAGGUUUUCCACCAAUGGUGGCUGAGCAGGGAGAGGGAUAGAGCAGGGAGGGAGGGGUGCGGGCGUGCGGGCGAGGGGAAUGGGCGAGGCCUGCCCCACGCUCCCGCAGACUGCAC
rnacentral:lncRNA from 1 species